CGGGAUAGCUCAGCUGGUAGAGCGAGAGGACUGAAUA
rnacentral:tRNA from 2 species